GGUCCCGUAGCGCAGAGGCAGGCGCACCUUCUUGGCAAGAAGGAUACGCCGGUUCGAAUCCGGCCGGGGCCA
rnacentral:tRNA from 1 species